UGCACUACUGGGCGCUGGCUCCUGACCCCCUGCAAAAACCGCGACAUAAGCGGCUGACUGAAGGCUGACCUGCCUCCAAAUCCCUCAUGGCAGGACGAAUUUAAAUAUCUUAUCAGCUGGUAACUGAUGUUGGUUGCCACCAGAGGCCUGAAUUCCACAGGACAGGAGUGGAGAAAAUAAACUGUCAGAGUGCAUCCAGUCACACCUGCCACCGUGUCACCGCCGGGUCACUUUCACAAUACAAUUCAAGUCAAGGACACCAAGCCAAAUUCACAAAAUUAUGUAAAUAUUUGCAGCGACGUGCAGUCAGGGGAGGCAGGGGAGGCAGAGCCUCACCUGUCAUACUCCAAUGUAACGGAAAAACAUGAAAAACUCAAUAGUAAUAAUAAUAAAAUGUCUCCACUGA